rnacentral:rRNA from 1 species
UCUGCUGCCGCAGGUGGCAACCACACCCUCUGUCUACCUGUACCUCUUGUUGUUUCCUCGGCAGGCCGCUUACGCCAGCCGCUAGGAAUACCUUAAAACCCUUGUAUCUAAAGUAUCUAAAACUCUGAUAACAAAACAAACAAAUCACAACUUUCAACAAUGGAUCUCUUGGUUCUGGCAUCGAUGAAGAACGCAGCGAAAUGCGAAAAGUAGUGUGAAUUGCAGAAUUCCGUGAAUCAUCGAAUCUUUGAACGCACAUUGCGCCCCUCGGUAUUCCGUGGGGCAUGCCUGUUCGAGCGUCAUUAUCACCCUCAAGCUCUGCUUGGUGUUGGGCGCCUGUCCCGCCUCAGUGUGCGGACUCGCCCUAAAGCUAUUGGCAGCGGUCGUGCCAGCUUCUAGCGCAGCACAUUUGCGCUUCUUGAAGCUAUGGUGGAUCAGCAUCCAGCAAGCCCUCUAUAGUUUGACCUCGGAUCAGGUAGGGAUACCCGCUGAACUUAAGCAUAUCAAUA